AGCAGAGUGGCGCAAUGGAAGUGUGCUGGGCCCAUAACCUAGAGGGCAAAGGCUCGAAUCCCUCCUCUGCUA